rnacentral:rRNA from 1 species
ACGCUCGACACCUACGGGAGGUAGCAGUAGGGAAUCUUCCACAAUGGGCGCAAGCCUGAUGGAGCAACACCGCGUGAGUGAAGAAGGGUUUCGGCUCGUAAAGCUCUGUUGUUGGAGAAGAACGUGCGUGAGAGCAACUGUUCACGCAGUGACGGUAUCCAACCAGAAAGUCACGGCUAACUACGUGCCAACAGCCGCGGUAAUCUGAGCGGGCUGGCAAGGC